ensembl:Y_RNA Y_RNA Y RNA
AGCUGGUCUGAUGGUAGUGGGUUAUCAGAAUGUAUUAACAUUAGUGUCACAAAAGUUGGUAUACAACCCCUACUGCUAAAUUCAACUGACUAGAA